UGGGGAAUAUUGGACAAUGGGCGAAAGCCUGAUCCAGCCAUGCCGCGUGUGUGAAGAAGGUCUUCGGAUUGUAAAGCACUUUAAGUUGGGAGGAAGGGCAUUAACCUAAUACGUUAGUGUUUUGACGUUACCGACAGAAUAAGCACCGGCUAACUCUGUGCCAGCAGCCGCGGUAAUACAGAGGGGGCAAGCGUUAAUCGGAAUUACUGGGCGUAAAGCGCGCGUAGGUGGUUUGUUAAGUUGGAUGUGAAAUCCCCGGGCUCAACCUGGGAACUGCAUUCAAAACUGACUGACUAGAGUAUGGUAGAGGGUGGUGGAAUUUCCUGUGUAGCGGUGAAACGCGUAGAUAUAGGAAGGAACACCAGUGGCGAAGGCGACCACCUGGACUAAUACUGACACUGAGGUGCGAAAGCGUGGGGAGCAAACA
rnacentral:rRNA from 1 species